rnacentral:rRNA from 1 species
GUCGAGUGCGCGCCUGUAGCAAUACAGGUGGCGCACGGCGCACGGGUGCGUAACACGUGGGUAAUCUGCCCUUCGAUGGGGAAUAACUCCGGGAAACCGAAGCUAAUUCCGCAUAACAUUCCUUGAACUUCGGUUUGGGGACUCAAAGCCGUAAGGCGUCGGAGGAGGAACCCGCGCACGAUUAGCUAGUUGGUAGGGUAACGGCCUACCAAGGCUUUGAUCGUUAGCUGGUCUGAGAGGAUGGCCAGCCACACUGGAACUGAGACACGGUCCAGACUCCUACGGGAGGCAGCAGUGGGGAAUCUUGCACAAUGGGCGAAAGCCUGAUGCAGCGACGCCGCGUGGGGGAUGAAGCUUUUCGGAGUGUAAACCCCUUUCGACCCGGACGAAUGUCCCGCAAGGGAACUGACGGUACGGGUAUAAGAAGCCCCGGCUAACUACGUGCCAGCAGCCGCGGUAAGACGUGGGGGGCCAGCGUUGCUCGGAAUUACUGGGUGUAAAGGGUUCGUAGGCGGUGUAGCAAGUCGGGAGUGAAAUCUCUGGGCUCAACCCAGAGACUGCUUCCGAAACUGCUGUGCUUGAGUGUGGGAGAGGCGCGUGGAAUUGCAGGUGUAGCGGUGAAAUGCGUAGAUAUCUGCAGGAACACCCGUGGCGAAAGCGGCGCGCUGGACCACUACUGACGCUGA